UGAUUGGCGUAUAUAUAGAAAUAGAAUUUGUAGAAAAUAUAUAUACGAGUAGUAUAUAGAUAUAGAUGAUGAAAGCAGGUAGGGGUGUUUAUUGGCGGCGGCGCAGGCUGAUGUGCAACAAAUCCUUGUUGACUUCACAAAAUCUACUGUUGUUGAAGUCGUCCCCACGGCCGCUAAAUUGCGUAGACCACCGCCCUCACGUUAUUACACACGCGCCAUAUAAUGAGUAUAAAGCAACAGAAAUUGAUGGAAAGUUGAUUGCAAAUGAUAUUAAAGCUACAUUAGCCACCGAAGUAUGUAAUAUGAGAAGUUCAAUACAAAAGGUACCUGGACUAGGUGUGAUAUUAGUGGGCAAAAGAGAGGACUCCCUCUCGUUUGUACGAAUCAAGAAGAAAGCUUGUGACAAGGUCGGGAUUGCCUCAGUAGUAUUAGAGCUUCCUGAAGAUUGUACACAAGUUGAAAUUCUUAAUGCUGUUGAAAUGUUGAAUCACAAAGAAUCGAUACAUGGCAUUCUCGUCCAACUACCGUUGCCCAGUCAUUUGAGCGAGGAGAAGAUUCUGAAUGCUGUCAAUGUGGAAAAAGAUGUGGAUGGAUUUCAUCCUGUCAACAUGGGAAAUCUUGCCAUGACGGGAAGGGAGCCUUUGUUUACACCUUGUGCAUCUAGAGCGUGUAUUGAGGUCCUUCACAGAUACGGUGUGGAAAUUAUAGGUAAGAAAGCAGUAGUAAUUGGGAGAAGUAUGAUUACUGGAUUACCGACUUCCUUGCUAUUGCAGAAACAUCAUGCUACAGUCAGUGUUGUACAUGCAUUCACCAGUAAUCCAGAGCAUAUAACACAUGAAGCCGACAUUUUAGUUUCAGAUGUUAGCGUUCCUAAUCUGGUCCGAGGUCACUGGUUAAAACCAGGUGUUGUGGUAAUUGACAUGGGGUCAACGUUGGUGAAGGAUAACAACAGUUCAAACGGUACCCGAGUGACAGGAGAUGUUUGCUACGACGAGGCCAUACUUAAAGCAUCAUUAAUUACUCCUGUCCCGGGAGGUGUUGGACCUGUUACCAUCUCCAUGUUACUUUCCAAUACAGUUGAAGCCGCUAAGCAUGCUUAUCAAUGGACUGAACAAUCAUGACAACGAUAUUAGUAAUUUCUUUUGUACCACUAUCAAAUGUGCAUAUUUAUAUAUAUGAUCUCUGCUUGUUCGGACAUCAAGUGUCAUAGACAGUCCACCAAAAGUGGGGUUCAGCCUACACAUACAUUGCUAAAUGCUUCCAGGUAAGUAAAUCUUUUAUUAGAAGCUAAUCGAAAUAUCUUAUUUAUUAUAUUAGAGUUGAACUUUCAACAGCAUUACUUUUUCCUUUUCUGUACAAUUACAUGCUUCUAAAGCAGGUGAUUGCAUUUGGUUCGUCUACAUUUGGUAUCCGUAUUAUCUUGAACAAGGAAUUACCGUCUGGGAUAACACGACAGUAUUCUUGUUGCAGCAAUCAGUGUCUUGGUGUGGAAUGCUCUUAUUUGGCUAAG